rnacentral:rRNA from 1 species
CGCCUGUUUAACAAAAACAUCUCUAGUAUUUAUUUGAGGUAUGACCUGCCCACCGAUUUUAUUUGAAGGGCCGCGGUAUUUUGACCGUGCAAAGGUAGCAUAAUCAUUAGUUCUUUAAUUGUGGACUGGUAUGAAUGGUUUGACUAGGUGCCAUCUGUCUUUAUAAUUAAUUUUUGUUGAAUUUGGUUUAUUGGUAAGAAAACCUAUAUUUUGUUAUGGGACGAGAAGACCCUAUAGAGUUUUAUAUAUCUUUUUCUUUUUUGUUUGUUUUUUAUGUUGUGAAUGAUAUAUUUUGUUGGGGUGAUGGGAGUGUAAGUUUAACCAUUCUUUUUUUUAUUUCACUUAUUUGUGUAUGGAUGAUCUUUUAUUAUUGAUUAUAAGAUUAAAUUACCUUAGGGAUAACAGCGUAA